rnacentral:rRNA from 1 species
GACGAACGCUGGCGGCGCGCUUAACACAUGCAAGUCGAGCGAAGCGGCGGACGGGUGAGUAACACGUGAGUAACCUGCCUUAGACCUUGGGAUAGCCUCGGGAAACCGGGAUUAAUACCCAAUGGUCUAAGAUGGACUCGCUUCCCAUUAGCUAGUUGGUGAGGUAACGGCCCACCAAGGCGACGAUGGGUACCCGGCCUGAGAGGGUGAGCCGCGACAUUUGAACUGAGAAACGGUCCAAACUCUGCGGGAGGCAGCAGUGGGGAAUAUUGCCCAAUGGAGGGAACUCUGAAGGAGCGACGCCGCGUGAACGAAGAAGGCUGUCGAGUCGUAAAGUUCUUUUAUAUGGGAAGCGGUACCAUAAGAAAAAGCCCCGGCUAACUACGUGCCAGCAGCCGCGGUAAUUC